ensembl:snRNA U6 U6 spliceosomal RNA
GUGCUCGCUUCGGCAGCACAUAUACUAAAAUUGGAACGAUACAGAGAAGAUUAACAUGGCCCCUGCGCAAGGAGGACACGCAAAUUCGUG